ACAUCGCCUUUUGAUUAUCAUAAGAGGUCCAGCCUGCCCAGUGACCACAAUUUAACGGCCGCGGUACCCUAACCGUGCGAAGGUAGCAUAAUCACUUGUUUCCUAAAUAGAGACUAGUAUCAACGGCAUCACGAAGACUACACUGUCUCCCCCCUAAAAUCAAUGAAACUAAUCUCCUCGUGAAGAAGCGAGGAUGAACAUAUAAGACGAGAAGACCCCAUGGAGCUUUAAACAAACUUCAAUUGCUUUCCCCCCCCCACCAUAGAAAUUAAGCACUAUUGACUGUUAGUUUUAGGUUGGGGCGACCACGGAGUAAAACAAAACCUCCACAAUGAACGUAAAAAAAUUCUAAUAAAAGAACCACAAUUCUAUCAAUCAAAAAAUUGACAUAAAUUGACCCAAACACUUGAUCAAUGAACCAAGUUACCCUGGGGAUAACAGCGCAAUCCAUUUUGAGAGCUCCUAUCGACAAAUGGGUUUACGACCUCGAUGUUGGAUCAGGGUAUCCCAGUGGUGUAGCCGCUACUAACGGUUCGUUUGUUCAACGAUUAAAACCCUACGUGAU
rnacentral:rRNA from 1 species